rnacentral:rRNA from 1 species
AAUAUUGCACAAUGGAGGGAACUCUGAUGCAGCAACGCCGCGUGAGUGAAGAAGGUUUUCUGAUCGUAAAACUCUGUCUUUGGGGAAGAAUAAAUGACGGCAACCGAUGAGUAAUCCCCGUCUAACUACGUUCCAGCAGCCCCGGUAAUACGUAGGGGGCCCGCGUUGUCCGGAAUUACUGGGCGUAAAGGGUACGUAGGCGGCUAUAUAAGUCAGGUGUUAAAAACCAGUGCUUAACACUGGAAUUGCAUUUGAACCUGUGUAGCUUGAGUGCAGGAGAGGAAAGUGGAAUUCCUAGUGUAGCGGUGAAAUGCGUAGAGAUUAGGAGGAACACCAGUGGCGAAGGCGACUUUCUGGACUGUAACUGACGCUGAGGUACGAAAGCGUGGGUAGCGAACA